rnacentral:rRNA from 1 species
AUGAAUUGCUUGGCCUAGAACUGUCGAGGACUGGGGUUGGACUCGACAGUUGGCGAACUACGGGACCUCAUACAGUCAUACAACCCAGUGGUGGUUUUUUUAUCGAAGACUAAGAAAAAUGCAAGGGCUAUGGAGAGACUAAAAUGGAGGCUUGGGUUUCAAAGUGGUGUAGCAGUGGAUUAUAAUGGGAGGAGUGGGGGUCUUGCACUAUGGUGGAGAGAGCACCUGCAGGUCACUGUUAGACCAUGGUGCCAGUAUUUCAUUGAUGCAGAGAUCAGUUCGGAGGGGCAUACCUGGAGGUUCACUGGAAUCUACGGGAGCCGAGAACAGAGUUGA